rnacentral:rRNA from 1 species
UACGGAGGGGGCUAGCGUUGUUCGGAAUUACUGGGCGUAAAGCGCACGUAGGCGGCUUUGUAAGUUAGAGGUGAAAGCCCGGGGCUCAACCCCGGAAUUGCCUUUAAGACUGCAUCGCUUGAACGUCGGAGAGGUGAGUGGAAUUCCGAGUGUAGAGGUGAAAUUCGUAGAUAUUCGGAAGAACACCAGUGGGCGAAGGGCGGCUCACUGGACGACUGUUGACGGCUGAGGUGCGAAAGCGUGGGGAGCAAACAGGG